GCCGAAGUGGCGGAACAGGCAGACGCACGCGACUCAAAAUCGCGCGGGGUAACUCCCGUGUGGGUUCGACUCCCACCUUCGGCACCA
rnacentral:tRNA from 1 species